AACACUGCGAAAUUGUAUAUUGCUUGUUGCCAUUACUUUGCCAGUUUUGUUCCACUCUCCCGCAUUACUACUCUCAUUCUGUCCUGCCAGUAUCUGUUAUUGUCAGCUGUUUGCUAGUAAGUACUACUGUGUCCUGCGAUUAACUGGCGAACAAUUCAGGGUGUACCCCUGCCUCUCACCCAAAGUCAGCUGGGAUGAGCUCCAGCAUGCCUGUGAUCCUAGUGAAGAUAAAAUGGAUGGAUGAAUACUACGGUGUUUUUCUGUUCUUGUUCCUCUGCCUUGGUUACAGAUUCCCACGCACCCACCGUCUGUUAUUCCCGUGAACACCUGUGAGCCAAAUAUCUCCAUCCACUGUGUUAUUUUGGAUAACUUGGCUCAUGCAGACAAUUCCUCCUGCAAUGCUCAUUGGUGCUUCAGCGGUCCCGGGCUGGCAGUCAACAACGGGGGAGGAGGCUAUGUAACUGGGAGGUCGAGGACUCAACAUCCAGGAAUGCAACGGACGUAUGAGAGGCCGGCGAUGUUUGUACUGUGGGCUACCAGGACACCAGGUUUCAUCAUGCCCAGGGAAACCACAUCUGACUGACAAUGCCAAGUCAGCCAUCCUCCACGAAGCUUCAGGACCAAACGAAUAACUGGGUCACAUAACUGAGACUGAUUCAACCCCUUCUAAGACAGUUAGCUGAGCAACUAGUGGAAGUCUUCAACUUCCUGGUAUGAUUUCGCUUAAAGGUUACAGCACUGGUGGAUUCUGUGGCUGCCGAUUUGUUUUGUAGGCUUUUCUGUUGUUGAAACAAAUGUUUGGUAGUUAAAUUGGGGUAGGCUAAGGAGGUACGGGAUCUUAAUGGGGAGCUUGUCACUAUUGUCACGCAUUAGACAGUCCCUGGGGGUUGGUUUUGUCAGGUCACCAUCAUUAGGCCAGACAUUUUUAUUUUUUUUUUAUUUUUUUUAAUGCCAACCCAAUUGACACUUGUUGUUUUGGGCCUUACAUGGCUUAAAGAGAUUUUUACCGAUUAAAAAGGACAAAACUCUGCUUUCAAUCCAUUGCAUUCUGCUAUCAUGUUCAUUAAGCUUGAGUUGCGUAAUGCUUAUGAUUUAGUGAGAAUCAGAAAGGGUGAUGAGUGGAAGAUGGCCUUAAAUAAUCCCAUGGGUCAAUUUGAAUAUUUGGUGAUGCCGUUCGGUCUUCGAAUGCCCCUGCCUUCCAAAAGCUGAUCAAUGAUAUACUGCGUGAUAUGAUUGGUCGCU